UCCGACAUGGUGUAGUGGCUAACAUUAUCGCCUCUCACGCGACAGCCCAGGGUUCGAUUCCCUGUAUCGGAA
rnacentral:tRNA from 1 species